rnacentral:rRNA from 1 species
UACAUGGGGUGCAAACGUUGCUCGGAAUUAUUGGGCGUAAAGCGUCCGCAGGUGGCACCUCAAGUCUGCUGUCAAAGACCGGGGCUUAACCCCAGAAAGGCAGUGGAAACUGAAGUGCUAGAGUGCAGUAGGGGUAGAGGGAAUUCCCGGUGUAGCGGUGAAAUGCGUAGAGAUCGGGAAGAACAUCGGUGGCGAAAGCGAUCUGCUGGACUGCAACUGACACUCAGGGACGAAAGCUAGGGGAGCGAAUGGG